rnacentral:lncRNA from 1 species
GCCCGCCCCCGCCGCCCCCGGGGCUGCGCUCCGCGGGGUGACAACGCCGAGCGCGACUCCGCCAGCGGAGACGCCGCCGCCGCCCGAUCCCGCUACCUUUGUGCCCUCCCAGAAACCGGCGAGAAAGCGAAGCAAAGCCCCGCGCCGCUCCCUUACCUUGUGGGCAGAGAGAGAAAAAGUUGAAGCACUCUCCUUCUACACCUCCCUCACUUUUUUGUUUAAAUUUAAAUAUUUGAAAAUUUGGAGGACAUAUUUCUUGAGAGCUUUUCAAAAAGUCUUCCUCAUCUCUUGGGACUAUGCAGUGUUUUAUCUUUCCUCUUCAACACCAGUGGAAAAAAAAAAGCUUGCAGGGUGGUUUCAUCUGUACCAUCUGUGGGCCAUAUUGCACAUCAGAUGGCAGGAUAAAAUCUGCAAUGAGAACAUUUUGGGACAUAAAAGUCUUUCAGGGUUUGAAGCCAUGAUAUUCACAACACAAAUGUACAGAGCCACUCAUGUAUCUGAAACAGAAGACGCAGCAAUGCCAAAGCAGCUGCUGCAGUGAAAUAAAAGAGAGACCACACAGUUUGGGGAACAUGAUGGCAU